UAAGGAAUAUUGCUCAAUGGGAGAAAUCCUGAAGCAGCAACGCCGCGUGGAGGAUGAAGGGUCUAUGACUUGUAAACUCCUGUAAAGAAGGAAAAAAUUCCCAUUAGAUGGGAGAUGAUGGUACUUCUGGAGUAAGCCCCGGCUAACUACGUGCCAGCAGCCGCGGUAAUACGUAGGGGGCAAGCGUUGUCCGGAUUUACUGGGUGUAAAGGGUGCUCAGGCGGAUUUGUAAGUCAGAGGUGAAAUCUUACAGCUUAACUGUGAAACUGCCUUUGAUACUGCAAGCCUAGAGUAUGGAAGAGUGUGAUGGAAUAUCUGGUGUAGCAGUGAAAUGCGUAGAUAUCAGAUAGAACACCAAUGGCGAAGGCAGUCACUUGGUCCAUUACUGACGCUAAAGCACGAAAGCGUG
rnacentral:rRNA from 1 species